rnacentral:lncRNA from 1 species
CGCGCCCCUCCCCGGCGCGCUCCCACGCCCGGCGCGGGUUCCCAGGCCGCCCCCCCGCGGUGGCCCAGAGACCCAGUUUGCGGCGGCAAAACAUUGGUCUCCGGGCAACAGGCCCCGCCCGCCCUGGGGCGGCCCGAGCGAGCCCAGCCGCGCCGGGGCAGGGUGGCGGCGAGGCGGCUGGGCCCCGGCCUGGAGCCCGGGGCCCUCACCCUCCCAGAGGCCUGCAGGGCGCAGAGACCCGGAGACAGAGAGCCAGCAACUCGGACCUGGAGAUUCGGGGCCCCGGAGCAAGAAGCACGGAGAAAUUCGUGGAGGCUGAAGCCACAGGGAUCUGUCUGGGACGCAGUGAGGAAGAGAGAUCUGGAGACAAGCAAGGACGGGCCCCCACAAUAAACACAGAGAUAGCGAGCGAGAUGAACACAGACCACCCCAGGCCCGCAGGGACGCCUCUGAAGGAUCCGCUACCUGCCGUGGAGAUCACGCUUGUCCCUGGCCAUGUGUCUCCAUAGAACCUCACCUAUAAUGUGACAUCGAGUAUGUGGAGGCCCCAGAUAAGAGCAUCCGUUCAGAGAGCAGAGGCCCCAUCCCAACAUCACACGGUAGUCAGCUGUGAGGGGCUCCGUGCUGUCCACGAUCGAUCGGUGGAAUCCCUUUGGGAACAAGUUUGGGAGUCGAAUAAUAAAAUUAAAAAAAAAAAAAUCAGAUCCGGAGAGCGAUCCAGAAAUGAACAGAAACUCAGGACACAGAGACUCAGAAAAAGAAGGGGGGCCAGGGGAGGGCAGGGGCCCAGAAAGGGACCUAGGGGAACAGAGACAGUGACAGAGAUGCACAGAAAUACCGAAACAGAGAUAGAGAGAGAUAGGGGUCAGAAAGAUGCAGACAGAGAGGCACAUUAAGAGGCAGAGACUGAGGCGGCCAUUUAGGGGCAGGGAUACCCCAAGAGAGGAACAUUUGCUUUUCAAUGAGACAGUAUACACAUGGCCCACGUUUUAUAGGCCCUGCUUUCGAGAAGCAGCCUGUACCGUAGUUUGGCAAUUGCAAGCUUACCAAGCCAGGUCUCCUCCUCAGGCCCGGUAUGUAGGAUGCACAUUAAAUGCGUUUAUAUAACCUGCCCUCUGUGCAGAAUCUAGGAGCUUUACAUAACAUAGCCCCGUGAGUCAUGCUGCAGACAUGGGGCACUGACCUGACACACCCAACAAGAGGGGACCCCCUUACCCAGGGCCACUAUCUGGAAAUGACUCUGAGAUGUGGGAGAUCAUGGGUUUCACUGAGGAUGAAGUAGAGGUCAGAGGAGGGCAGGGCACUUGCUCUGGGUCACACAGCCAGGAUCCAGCAGCACAGGAAUUCCAACCAUAUCUGCCUGAUUUCAUAGCCUUUGCACCCCAAGGCACCGAGAAAGGCAAUGACUACCAAUGUGCCUCUUUCCAGAGGGGAGGAAAUAGACCGGUAAUAACACAACAGCCCCCCUGGGUAUUGAGUGCAUUGUGCCACAGGGAGUACUUUACAAACACCAUCUCAUUUAUUCCAAAGCCCGGUGAGGUAGGGACAGAAUCCAGCUAUUAAAUAAUAUAAUUAUAACAUAAUUAUACCCGUUAUAUACAGAGCACUAACACUGUACUAAGUGCUUAAGAGGACUUCAUACAGUCACAGCUCUGGAGGUGGGUGAUGUUAUCACCUCCAUUUCAGGAAGGGAAGAGGCUCGAAGAAAGGAAGUCAGGCCAAGGUCAUAGAGAGGGUAUUUGAACCCAGGUCUCUCUGGAUGGUUAUCGCUGCCACCCAUUCCCCGGGGGAUGUGCCCGCAGUGCAUCUAUGCACCGUGCAAUCGAUGUAACAUCUAACACUGACAUCUCAAAUACUUUAGUUCAAAUACCAAGAGCUCCUGCCUCAUCUUUCUCU